GACGAACGCUGGCGGCGUGCCUAACACAUGCAAGUCGAGCGGGGACUUAUGGAAUGAAGCUUCGGCAGAAUGAAGUAAGUUCUAGCGGCGGACGGGUGAGUAACGCGUGAGUAACCUGCCUAUCACUGGGGAAUAACGCAUCGAAAGGUGUGCUAAUACCGCAUGAGACCACAUUGGGACAUCCCGAAGGGGUCAAAGAUUUAUCGGUGAUAGAUGGGCUCGCGUCUGAUUAGCUAGUUGGUGAGGUAACGGCCCACCAAGGCGACGAUCAGUAGCCGACCUGAGAGGGUGAUCGGCCACAUUGGAACUGAGACACGGUCCAGACUCCUACGGGAGGCAGCAGUGAGGAAUAUUGGUCAAUGGGCGAGAGCCUGAACCAGCCAAGUAGCGUGAAGGAUGACUGCCCUACGGGUUGUAAACUUCUUUUGUUUGGGAAUAAGUUCAGCACGUGUGCUGUUUUGUAUGUACCAUUCGAAU
rnacentral:rRNA from 1 species